rnacentral:piRNA from 1 species
GCAGAUGACUCGAGGGAACCAGA